UCACUUGCACCCUCAUAUCAUUUGAGUAACAAAGUGCAAAGAGAAUCAAGAAUCCACAUUUAUCCAGUGGAGCAUAUCAACAAGUUAACAAUGAAAGGAAAAAAUGAUAUUUUAUUUGUUCUCGUCUUGCAUUUUUGUCCAUUAUUUUCAUUGUUUUGCCCUUCCCACUGUGUGCUUUUGUUUGAGUUUUAGAUUUGUGUUUGCGUACUAAUCUCUUAGAGUGAAGCUCAUUCAAAAGGUCCAUACACUUACAUGCAUUCGUUGCAAAUUUGAUGGUCUUUCAUGCUAAUUCUUUUAAUCUCCAUCAUCAAUCUACGUAAUUCAUCCAGUGCUAUAAGAAAUGCUCUAAAUUUUUACCUCAAAUGUUUUCUUCUUUCCCCAAUCAUUAAGCAUAAGGUUGCAAGACAACAUUUUCCCAAGAAAAUUUUAUAUGGACAGAACCCGAAUGUUUUGGCACUCUUGAGAGCUUUAAUCUCACUAAAUUUGGAUUCUUUUAUGCUGAAAAAUCCAUGUUCGGUCUCAAAAGACUCAAAUAGUCUGUUCAAGUCCGCAGAAGUUGGUUAUGUUGGUUACGUCAUGUUGAGCAUGGUGAUUUUAAUUGUGGGCAUCCCUUAAAAUUUUAGUUCAAGAUUGUGGGUUUCUGUGUAUUAUGAUUGUGGUCUGUCUAUAGCCCUGAAAACGUGGAUUGUCAUUUGUGGGUAGUCAUUUUAGCUGAAUAUGGUUUAGGAAAAAUCCUGUGUCUCAGGUCAGUCAAGUGCAGUACGAUUAUUUGUCGACUUCGCAUUUUGAUUAUGGUGUUGGCAUGUUCUUGUAUCUGGGCAUUUGCGUAGGCUGCCUUUGUCCGUGGAUUAUCAGACUCAGUAUUUCUCAAAAAUCAUAUAUUAGGCUACAUAAUACAGUGAUUAUCAGAUCUGUUUUAGAAAAACUCUUUUUGUUGGAUUCCACAUAAUCCCUAGGUGGAUCUUACAGCCAGAAUGAAGGGGUUGUUGGGGAACCACAAGAAUGCUAGAGAACUAAGCAAGUGUAGACAGCCAAACAGGUUGGCUGUCAUUACAGUAUGUUUUGUGUGCUCUGUAGUUUUGAUACUUGGUACUGUUGUCAUACAAUGGACACAUAUUUUUCGCAAGGCUCCUGCUGACUCUGCUCUUAGAGAUGGUGAUCAUGUUUCAGAUUUUGGCUCUCUGGAAGUGCCCUGGUGUAGGUCAAGGCGUGGAUCCACUGUGAAGUGGACGAGAGAUGAUCUUGAGCAUGCGGUGAAAGAAUUUGUACCCAUUUACCAUACCAGGCCUAUAAAAAAUAAUAAGUUUGGCAUGGGUUUUGAUGACAGUUUUGGUGUCUGGUUCAUAACAAGGUGGUUAAAGCCAGAUUUGAUGAUAGAAAGCGGUGCUUUAAAAGGUCAUUCCACAUGGGUGUUGAGGCAAGCCUGCCCAGCAAGCCUAUAAUAACAAUUACCCCUCUCCAUCCUAAAAACUAUUUGAAGGAAGGGCCUGCAUGUGUGGAUCCUAAUUGCAGAUAUUAUUCAGGGAAACAGUUUAUUGAUUUUCGAAGUAUUCCAUGGAAAUCAGUAAUGGAGGAAUAUGGAAUUUCAGACCAGAGAAAAGUGGUUGUUUUCUUUGAUGACCAUCAGAAUGAACUUAAAAGGCUGAAGCAAGCUCUGAGGGCAGGAUUUAGACACCUGAUAUUUGAGGAUAACUAUAAUAUUGUUACUGGAGAUAUGUAUACUCUACGUCAAAUAUGUGACCAGUUUCACAUUAAAGGUGGUGGACAUAGCUGCUAUGAAGUAAUGAUGAAGCCAGGAUGAGAGGCAUAAGGAAGCAUUUUUGGGAGAAGGCUUUAGACAUUAAAGAGCUAUAUGGGUCAGGGGAUGCCUGGUGGGGUGUGAAGAGGAGAGGUGAGAGACAACUGCAACCAAAGCAUUGAGCCAAUGUCUCCAUGCAGAACAUUUCGAGAACAGCAAGUUUGUUGAAUCUGUGUUGGAGCUUCCACCUAUUGCUGGACCGUCCCUAACUCACCAAACAAGAUACGACCCUGCCCGUUCCUCCAUACCUGUUGUUCUAGACGAUCAAAGAUACUUGUUUAGAAAACUUGGACUGAGCAAUUUGAACAAGAGUGUGUUCAAUGGAUACACGCAGAUGGAUUAUGUUAAAAUAUCAGAAUAAUCCAAGCACCAAGGAAACAAAACUGUUGGAAUAUUAAGGUUUAUAAUAAUAAAGUUAUUUUAAUUAUUUCAUAA